GCGUGAAGGGGCGGGGGCGGGGGACCCCCUGGGCUGGAGGCCCCGCCAUUGGAGGGGCUGAUGGCAGAGCGAGGGAGCUGGGGGCGGGGGGGUCAUCCAGGGCCAGGCUCCACCUGAGAUGCGUGUUGCUCAGCCCCGGACGGACGCGGGCGCCUCGCCAGGGAAGAAGCUGGGCACUCGGGCGCGGCCCCUUUAAGGCUGCUCCUGCCCGCUGGGGGCGAUGAGGAGCUGGCAGCGGCCGAGGAGCCAGGCGCAGCCCGACAGGUAGGCGGGGAGCCGGGCCCGAUCCUUGCCAGGCCGGCGCUGGAUGGAGCUGGCUGCAGUGUGGCCCCCCGGCCUCGGGCUGGGGAUGGAGCGGGCGCGGCGGCAGGAGGCGGAGCCCCAGAGCGGAUCCCGGCAUGGAGCUGACACAGCAGCCUGUGCCAGCUUUGCCCACCCAAAUACACCCCACUGCCAUCAGACCAGGGCUGGCUGGCUUUCCCUGAGAUGAUCUGAAGAGGAGCUGGA
ensembl:lncRNA